UGGCAGCAACAGUACCAGGUAGGUUUUGUCCUGCACACUGACGACAGCGAUGAAGAUCGUGCUGUUACUGACGCUGGUGGUAGCGCUGUGCCACGGAUCAAGUUAUACGAUAGAAGCUAUUAUGUUCCCGCAUGGCGUGCUGACGGGCCUUCUUGACACGCAUUGCAACAGGCCCACAGUCCUUGGUCCAACUGAAGGUUCCUGAUGGAUAUGACUAUUUGCAGCCCCGCGUGGUCAAGAUCAACCUGUGCUCACGUGGCCUAUGUUCUGACAACCUGAACAAGUGCGCAGCAGUGAGGUUCCAAACUAAAGAAGUGCAAGUAAGUUGACAGACGAAAGAAGUGAAAACAAUAACAACUGUGAGACAACACUGUAUACUUAAAGACAGGUAGAUCUGUGUUCGUAAAUGGUUUUUCUUUUCACUCAGGUGAAAGCCUUUAGAAGAGGAAGUCACUUAUCAACUCUUCUCCUCUAACUGACUGUCUUGAUUCUUUAAGUCACCGCCGCAAUGUUGCAUCUUUAUCUGUCUUCUACCGCUGUUUUCAUGCUGUCUGCUCUUCUGAACUUGCUAACUGCAUGC